AACCCUGCAUGGCACAGUGUUUUCGAUCCCGCAUUUCCUACAAUGUUCGCUGCUCGAUCUUCAUGCAUUCCUUCGUUCGGUCUUCGAAUGCAAGAAUUAUUCAACGAGAUCGGUAUUGAUGUAUCAGCCAUAUGUAAAUCUGAACACCUCUCCAUUGCACCUUGGAACAUCUCCCACAUAGCAGUGGAUUUUAGCCUUCAAUCACAUCCUAAGGAUUCUGUCCCAGAAUCCUUUUCCAACAUCUCUUUGCAGAUAUCCACCAACUGAACACAGACUUUAUUUCUAUUUUCACAGAUGGUUCCAAAUCUGGUAGCCAUGUGGGAUCCGCUUUUGUGUGCACUGACGAAGUCUUGU
rnacentral:lncRNA from 1 species